AGCCAUGCAUGCCCGCUCACCCGGGACGCGGCGGACGGCUCAGGACAACGGUUGCACCCCCCGCGGCGGUCCCUGCUAGCCGGACACCGCUGGCAACCCGGCGCCAAGACGUGCGCGCAAGGGCGGGCGCCCGCGGGCGAGCAGCGUGACGCAGCGACGGCCCGCCCGGGCUUCCGGGGCAUCACCCGGUCGGCGCGGUCGCGGCGCGCCGAGGGCCCGACG
rnacentral:rRNA from 1 species